AUCCAUGUGUGUGGAGUGAACCCAAUGGAGACCAACACCUGCUCUGGGACCUACACCAGGAAGCCCAGCCUGCCCUACACAGGAACUGAUGUGUCCGGGGUUGUGGAGGCUGUUGGAGAUGGGGUCCAACUUACAGGCUGGUGACCGUGUGUUUGCCACGGCCACAGAGACUGGAAGGUAUGCAGAAUACACCGUUGUGUCUGAUGACCUUGUCUCCCGGCUGCCAGACUCCUUAGACUACAAACAGGGAGCUGCCAUUUGGGAUCCCUUACUUCACAGCAUACAGAGCUCUCUCCCAUAAAGCACAUGCUAAAGCAGGCGAGACAGUACUCAUCCAUGGAGCCAGCGGCGGGGUGGGGGUGUGCAGCGUGUCAGGUGGCCUUGGGUCUGAGGGUCCUGGGGACAGCAGGGACCGCAGAGGGACUGAAGCUUGCCCUGAAGAACAGAGCUCACAUAGAAUGCUCUUUCCAUGACAUAGACUGACCACAUGAAUCCAGGUACAAGAGAAGUCAGGGGUGCGUAUGACACCGUCCCAUCCAUGCCAUCUCGGGUGACAGCCCCUGCGGACUGAGCAUGCCCAGAGGAGCACAGGAGCAGUAAGACUAGGCCCAUGAAGGAGUUAAGACAAGAUGGUGCUUUAAGCUUUAAGACGAUGAUUCCCUGAGACCACUUUCAUGGAUGAGCAAACAAAAAACCAUGCAGCCUGGCCAAUAACCAAACCAUGAGAAGUGUUCUCCUGAUGCUGAUGCUGUCAAUCCCACGCACCCAGUGCCUCUCUUCAUGUCCAGCUUCCUGUGUGGUGUGCUCUGACGACGCUGUCAUCUGCCACAAGCUCUCCAACU